GAUGAACGCUGGCGGCGUGCCUAAUACAUGCAAGUCGAGCGAACGGACGAGAAGCUUGCUUCUCUGAUGUUAGCGGCGGACGGGUGAGUAACACGUGGAUAACCUACCUCUAAGACUGGGAUAACUUCGGGAAACCGGAGAUAAUACCGGAUAAUAUUUUGAACCGCAUGGUUCAAAAGUGAAAGAUGGUCUUGCUGUCACUUAUAGAUGGAUCCGCGCUGCAUUAGCUAGUUGGUAAGGUAACGGCUUACCAAGGCAACGAUGCAUAGCCGACCUGAGAGGGUGAUCGGCCACACUGGAACUGAGACACGGUCCAGACUCCUACGGGAGGCAGCAGUAGGGAAUCUUGCGCAAUGGGCGAAAGCCUGACGGAGCAACGCCGCGUGAGUGAUGAAGGUCUUCGGAUCGUAAAACUCUGUUAUUAGGGAAGAACAUAUGUGUAAGUAACUGUGCACAUCUUGACGGUACCUAAUCAGAAAGCCACGGCUAACUACGUG
rnacentral:rRNA from 1 species